rnacentral:rRNA from 1 species
CGUGUAGGCGGUCCGGUAAGUCCGCUGUGAAAGUCGGGGGCUCAACCCUCGAAAGCCGGUGGAUACUGUUGGGCUAGAGUGCGGAAGAGGCGAGUGGAAUUCCUGGUGUAGCGGUGAAAUGCGCAGAUAUCAGGAGGAACACCAAUUGCGAAGGCAGCUCGCUGGGACGUAACUGACGCUGAGACGCGAAAGCGUGGGGAGCAAAACA